UGAAUUGACGGGACCCGCACAAGCGUGGAUCAUGUUGUUUAAUUCGACGAUACGCGAAGAACUUACCAGGUCUUGACAUCCCUGCAAAGCUAUGGAGACAUAGUGGAGGUUAUCAGGGAGACAGGUGGUGCAUGGUUGUCGUCAGCUCGUGUCGUGAGAUGUUGGGUUAAGUCCCGCAACGAGCGCAACCCUUGUCUUUAAUUGCCAUCAUUGAGUUGGGCACUUUAAAGAGACUGCCGGUGUUAAACCGGAGGAAGUGGGAUGACGUCAAGUCCUCAUGGCCUUUAUGCCCAGGGCUACACACGUGCUACAAUGGGUGGUACAAAGAGAGGCAAGCUCGCGAGAGUAAGCAAAUCUCAAAAAGCCAUCCUCAGUUCGGAUUGGAGUCUGCAACUCGACCCCAUGAAGUCGGAAUCGCUAGUAAUCGCGGAUCAGCAUGCCGCGGUGAAUACGUUCCCGGGCCUU
rnacentral:rRNA from 1 species